UACGGAGGAUCCAAGCGUUAUCCGGAAUCAUUGGGCGUAAAGGGCGCGUAGGUGGUUCUGUAUGUCUACCGUGAAAGCAUACAGCUCAACUGUAUUUUGUCGGUAGAAACUGCAGGACUUGAGGCUGGGAGGGGCUGGUGGAAUUCCCUGUGUAGCGGUGAAAUGCGUAGAGAUGGGGGAGAACACUCGUGGCGAAGGCGGCCAGCUAGACCAGUUCUGACACUGAGGCGCGACAGCGUGGGGAGCAAACAGG
rnacentral:rRNA from 1 species